rnacentral:rRNA from 1 species
UACGUAGGGUGCGAGCGUAAUCGGAAUUACUGGGCGUAAAGCGUGCGCAGGCGGUUUUGUAAGCCGGAUGUGAAAUCCCCCGGGCUUAACCUGGGAAUGGCAUUCGGGGACUCAAGGCUGGAGUGCGGGCAGAGGAGACUGGAAUUCCUGGUGUAGCAGUGAAAUGCGUAGAUAUCAGGAGGAACACCGAUGCGAAGGCAGGUCUCUGG